UCUCUCUCUCUCUCUCUCUCUCUCUCUCCGCCGUCCAUCCCCAUCUGGACGGCUGACAGACGCCUUCCCCCAAACCGGCUCUGCCUAUAAAAGAGAGAGAAAUGGAGGAAGGGAGAGGAGGGCGGGGGUUGCAUGAAGUCGUGGUCAUUUCUGGAGGCCCGGGACCUGCUGCUCCUCUCUUUUGUCUUUACUCCCCCCCACCCGUUACCCCUUCUUUAUUGUCUUUUAUCUUCUCCCCAGCCCCUUUCUCUACUCAAACGUAAUCAUUUCAGCUAUCAUCACCCUUCUUCUCUCGUCUCUAUCUCUCUAUAAUUUGCCCCCCUAGAAAGAAGCCGGGACUUGUGGGGAAGAAACGAGAAGAGAGGAAGUUUUUCUUUGAGGGGAAUGUUGUCUGGCUCGAGGCUUCCAAUUCUUGGAACUUUUUUUUUGCUUUAGAUUUGGUGUUAAAGGAAAAAAAAGAUCUCGGACCAGGCUUCAUUCCCCCCAAUCACAGCUUCCAUCAUCAUCUUCGACUCUUGAAUCGGCUGAUAUCUUCGAUCUAUAUGCAGGAUGGUUUGUGGGGGAGAAGGGAGGGGGAUGCAGAUUGGUGUAAUGAUGGUGGGUUUGGACUCCCGCGCUCUCUAUCAUUCUGCUUCUGUUCCCUUUCUUUCUUUCUUUUCCAGUCUGACAGGAAAAAGGGCAUGCACAAAAAGGUUUUCAUCAUAUAACUUUUGAAGUGAUCUUCUUUUUCCCUCAUUCCUUUCCCCCCUUCUCUGCUUCUUAAUCUUUUCUUAGUUAGCAAGCUUAUUCAUGAUAGGAUAUGAGAUCUAGCUCUUUCCCCUUUCUUUUCGUUUGAUUUCCCGUCCUUAUUUUUCUUCCUUUUUUUCUUUUUUUUCCUCCACUCAUGGGACUUUAAGAAAAGCAUAUUUCUAAAGUAAAAGUUUGGUAAACCCAGCCGUGAUGUCCUUCUUUUGAGUGCUUAUUUUUAUUUUACUGUGAAUCAUUUGAAGUGCUCAGACUUGAGGACAGGAAGAUCUUAUUAUAAUGAUGAGUGAUUAAUUUCAUCUAGUAAUGGAGCUAUUUCCUGGGUUUACCGUCAACAAGGAUAUUGGAGAUGUACUCCCGGAUCCAUGGUUAUGUGAUCGGAAAAAAGGGAAGUAUUCUAUUUCUCUAACACUUUCCAUAUCGUGAUUCCCAUAUAUCAUUUGAUGCGACCAUGUUUAAGGAGUCACAUGCAUGCAGUUCUGGUGGAGAUUUUUGUGAGGGAAGUAUUGAAUAUGAUUAUUUCUAUGAUACAUUUAUAUUGUCUGAUGAGAUCUCAUCGGAGAUCACUUUGUUCCUAUCCUCCAUUUCUCUUUAUUUUCGCUCCUUGCACACUACUUUUCUUGAUGAUAUGCGAUCACUGCACCAUCAAAACAAGGAAAUAUUCAAUUUGGCUACAUGGAUGAGAUUAGUUACCCUGAAAUGAAAUGAGUCUUUUUUUUUCUUUUCUUUUCUUUUCUUUCAUGCAUGUUUCCUCCUACCGCACAUGUCGAAUCCUUACUAGUAUUUCUUUAUAUCACCAAUUUAAAUGCAUAAUCGACGAGAUUCACCUAGUCUUCUGCAUAUAUUUGAUUUUGAUCAGCAUUAUUCAAGUUCAACUCCUUACCAUUUUUGAUCCACAUAUCUAACUCGUUAACUUGUCUUCUUUUUUUCCUUUUUUUGUCCUUUUACCCAUUUUAUCUUUCGAGCAUUUGAAUUAACUGUAUGCUUUAGUUGUCAGUGAAUAUAAAGAUUCCAAAUUAGUUAUUUCAUGUCUGGCAUUCAUGGGGUUCUGAAGUUUACAGCGGAUGGCUUUUGUUUGCACCUAAGAACUAGUAAAAAGCCUCAGGUCGUAUGCUCUAACCUUUGCAUCUCUUUGAGCUGUUGGUAUCGUUAAAGCUAAUCUGUUGUUUUUGUUGCGCUAGCUGUUGUUUGUUACCCCCGGCAUGGCAUUAAUCUCUCUUUAUUGACAGUGGAUCCUCCAUGUAGAAAAGCAAGAAGAUUAGGUCAGAUGGUGGUUAUCAUCCUGGGUACGAGCAGUGAGCAAAGCUAGGGAGACACGUGUGGUGUUGGUCCGUAGCUCGUGGGAAUGGUCAUUUGAGCUGCUGUCAUCCAAUGUAUAGGGUUUAUAGGGAGGGGUGGUCUAGGGUUUGCUUGCGAGGAAAAAGAGGAAAAUGUCUGUCUCCACCACCCCGCCUUAACCAGAAAGACCAACGUCAUUUGUCCCAUGCAUUGGAUCCCAUCUCUCUCACUCCCAUCACCUGACAGCCCUUCUAAUGCUGCCGAUGCCCUCAGAAAACCCACCCUUCCUGCAACUACUUUUAGGAGGUAAAAACAGUUCCCAAGUUUUAAUGCAAACCAUCUCCGGAAUCUGGUGAUCAAUCAGUUAUAAUCACUAGUUACAACUUUAUCUCACUCACUACUAGUCCUUGGGUUGGAAGUUAUGCCUUUUGGCUUGGGGAACAUGGACUUCAUCUUGGCUUUUGGCCGGUGCUUUACCUUGGGAGUCUCGUGUCCACAACUUUCCAUGUUUGAUGGCAACUCUACACCUACAUUUUGGAAUGGUACAUCAAUCAGCACAAGUGGUUUGUGUGAUGCCUGUCUCGCUUUCAACUCGUUUUUAGACUUCGAACAGCUGCAGGAGAGCCACAUGUAAACAAGUAUGAAAAGCUAUUGAACUUGUCUGUUUCAAGGGCUUCUUAUUACUUAUCCACGAAACAUAGUUGUUGCUUCUCUCUGAAUGACAUUUUGAGUUGUUUUUUUUUGGUACCUCUGAUGUUAUCUUUUGACUAGUGGGCACCUUUGAUGGCUCUAUCUUAUCGAUGAUAGCCUGCUACCAGGUACAGAUACAUUCCAGAAAAAGAGAAGAAAAGGAAAAGAAAAAAGAAAAGGAAUAAAAUAAAAGAGAUGCUCGGUGGCCAAGGAUCCACUAAAUAUAUUUACCAAUAAAAGACCCACUAAAGAUUGAGCGAAAGCAACAAAAAGCCUUGUUGAACUUAAACCUUCACCUUAUGGAGAUAAGAACAUCUUUUAGCUAGGUUCGGCAAAGACCUUCUUGAUUGAAAAAAGCUUCAGUAAGUGGUCCUGUCAAAUAAGACUUUUAUAGGAGCUAGAAAGAAGGCAAUUGAUGAUGAUAUUGAUCGUAAAUAACUUGAGGUGAUGAAUGUUUUCUGUUUAACAGCACAGUUCUCGUUUUAUGUCUCAAGUUAAUUUGAGCAAUAACUUGUCUGAUUUUGCAGUUGUUGUAACUGCAUGAGAUUAUUUUAUUUAAGAAAAGGAAUUGAAGUGUGGUCUUUCAUAGUUUUCUGAGUAGAGUAUGGCUUUGAAAUAAACGAACAACUCAUCCACUUUGUCAUUUGGUACUUAGGCAAAAUAUCUAUAGUAAAGGUUUUCAAAUGCGAUGGUGGCGAUGUUAUGAAGUUCCCCAGCGGCUACGACAGACGAUCACGUAAAAUUUCAGAGAUGCAGUGACUUCAACAAGUUCGUGUUAUGAAGCACUUGUAACUUCUUGCAUUAAUCCCAAAUAUCAGUUGUUGAAUCUAAAGAAAGUCAGCUAACAUCUAAUUUGACUGCCUCAUGGUAGAAAUGGUGUGUUUACCCAUCAGCUUGAUGAUUAUGAUAACUUUAGGAAUGGCAAUGCGUGUAAGGAAUGGCAACUCCAUUUCAAUCAUAGACUUCUGAGGCCAAGCCACCUUGAGUCAGAUCUGGGAGGUCAGAUAAAUUUUAAGGGGUUGGGUUGGCCAUGCAGUGCAAGCUUGUAUUCCUGUUUAGGUCAGGUAAGUUGAAUUCUUCAUGUAUAAACCAUUGUAUGUUACAUUAUUACUAUCAUCAUUUUUUUUAUUGUA